rnacentral:ncRNA from 1 species
UUGUCACAACGGCUUCCUGACGUGGCGAUCAAUUUUCACUGGAGCA